UGACCUAUCUGAGGGCUGUCCACGGGCCCUGUGUGCAGUCGGACCAUACACAAGCUCUAAGCUCCGCCCACUGCGUCCCUAAGCCAUUCUUCCGUCACCGCACACAGCAACCACUGUGGUCGGUCGGGACUGGCCACAGGCCGUCCACCGCAUGGCAUGCAGCUGUGACAUCAGAACCAGUUACCCUUCCCCUACCCCUAAGCUUGCUGUACAUACCACACACAGUGAACUCAGCAGUUUACGGUGCCCGCGAACACCCCUCUGUAUUCAGUUGCAGGAAGGCUCCUAUGUGCAGACAAUCCAAUUUUGGAACUGUACUCAAGGCUAUUGUCACAAGUUCCUGUGCCGUGUCGAGAAUGUGAUGAAGCGCCAGGAGUCGCCGGAGAGUAGUGACGGCUCGUCAGCCGUUGUUUGCGUGGUGCCGCCGGUGCGCCGCUCUCCCGCCGAGCCGCCCCUUCUCGUCGCCCAGUCUGGCCGCCCAGCCGAGCCUGGCGCGGCUGACGGCGCCUUAGACGGCAUCAUGUAGAACCAGCAUAGGUGAAGAGUGAAUGCGGCGGUGGCUCGUUGCAGUACUCUGCCGGCGCCAGCGAAGAACCGGCCUCUACCGCCGCUGGGCCGGUGCCGCACUCCUCUGCGCCCCAGCGACGGGAAGCUGCCGCCGCCGACGCCGAUGCCGGCGCCGUUCAGCCCAGCUACCACCGACUCAAGGUGGAGGACGUGCUCUCCUACCAGGACCAGGUCAAGUCCAAGUUCCAGAACAACCCACAGGUCCACAACGACUUCCUCAAUAUCAUGAAGGAGUUCAAGGCGCAAAAUACCUACACGUCUGGAUGAUGGCGCCGGGCUAGAUGACCACAGCGCGGUGUACACGCCCACUGGCGGCUUCCAGACCUACACGGACACGAUAGUAUCGCCGCCGCCGCCGCAGCCCCAGCUGCAGCAGCCACCGCCACCGCCGCUGCCGACGGCGCCCGGCGCGCCGCCCAAACCGAGUCACCAGCCGCCCACCGAGGAUCAGGUAUGGCACCAACAGGCAACAACAUCCUGUCGCACGCUGUGCGGCGGCGGCCGGCGUCGGGGGCCACCACGUCACCGCGCACCACUCGUACAACCAGCCGCCGCCGUCCGCGGCGCCCACAGCCGCCGCGUCGGCCGCGCUCGUCGGCGGCGCCGGCUCCAACCUGCCCAACCAGGGUGUGGCCGGCACGCAGCAGAGCCAGCCGGUCGAGUUCAACCACGCCAUCAUUUACGACAACAAACUCAAGGGAAACGUCGCUGCUUCUCACGACCCAUGGAUGAUGAGCAGUGAAGAUUGAUGACCACCGGAUCACAGUCUGCUCGCUCUGGUGGUUGGUGCCCGAAUGCAUCACCAGGCUCCCGGCCACAUCACCCGCUCAUGCGACCCUCCUGGAGAGGGAGAUGCGUGCAGCGGCGCGAGUGAUCACCGGGUGCCCGCUAUCGACUCCCUCACACGCUGUCAUGGCGGAGGCUUGCCUCGCCCCGGUGGUGGAACGCCGCCAAGUCCUGGCGGUGCGACUCCUGGCGAAGGCCCUCGCCCUGUCUGAGGGAGAUCCGCUCCGUGUCGUGGCGUCCAGCAACCCACCCAGCAGACUGAGGACAACUGGAUGGCGACAAGUGGGAGGAGAGGUCCUGGCGGCGAUCGGGGUCGCUCCCCCCAUCGAGCCGCUACUCCCCCCGCGAGAGCCUCCAUGGGCCUCAACAGGUCCGAUCAACUUCCGGCUAGAUAUCGGUGCGGCGCUAACACCAGCACCAUCAGCCCAGCAAAGACACACCACCGCGACACACCACCUGGCAUCGCUCCAGCAGUGCGCCACGUGGUGCUGGACCGACGGAUCGGCAUCCGGAGGCAUCACCGACGGAGGAGCGGGUGCUUUCAUCAAGAGGCCGGACGGCGAGGUGACAGACGCUCCGCGUCGCCGCCGGCCGCCUCUGCUCUAGCUACAGAGCGGAGAUGAUCGCACCCCAAAGAGCUGUCAACCACCUAGUCAACAACCCCGCACACUUGGAGGACGCGAUCAUCUUUUGUUGUUGUUGUAUUCCCCUCGGCCCGUCACCGGGGCGUAGUCGUUCGGCUCUGGAAGGACCGAAAGCCGGCGGCCAAGGCCGCCACCACGUCGUCCCGUCUCAAGUCGGUGGAGCGUCCGUAAAUGUUGCUCAUGGCGAGGA